AAGUUUUUCAUAUUGGAAAACUUGAUUACUUCAGGAUUUGAUGGCCAUUAUAAUGCAUAUGUUUUGAAAGCUACUGGAAAUAAAGUAGUACAGAGUUUUAUUGAUAUUGAAAACAAGUGGCCUUUGAGUGUAUACCAUGUCAACAAUGAAAUGUAUGUUACUAACCGAUAUUGUCACUUUGUUGAAUUUAUAUAGACCUAUGGUAACAGUCAUGAGCAUGACGUUACACUGCAUCAUAGGAGAAGGAAAACUCUGAUAUAAAACCACCUGCUGCUUUAUAGGUUGUGUCUACAUAUUUAAGGCUGUAUCACACGUGCACAUUUUCCUGCGACAUCGUGUUGUGCAACAUCAUUUCCGACGACCUGCCGUCUUCGGAAAUUAUCAAAGACCGUCGUUUAUUUUUCUGCGACUACAACAAUUAAACAAUUGUCUUUGAUAAUUUCCAAGGAUGGCAGGUCGUCGUAAAUGUUGUCGCAGGAAAAUGUGCCUGUGUGAUAUGGCCUUAAGAUGAAUUGUAGGAGAAGGAUCACUCUAUUAAACAAAUAAUUAAGUGCGAGGGGGACAGGAUCCCCUACACUGUAUGGUCUCCCAGAAACAGUGGGCACACCACACACAGAGAGUGGAGUGUAUAGACACCCUUAAAACCACUAGAUUGCGCCCUCUCUGGGGUGUACCCUUUUGGCCUAGGUAUAUAGAUGGAUGGAUUGUAACAAACUAAUGAAAAAAAGAAAAAAAAGAUAAGAAAAAACAUGGAAGGGCAAUUUAACCUAAACCUAUCGGAAUUAUUAAACGCUUCAUAUCAGUCAGUAUCUAUGAUGCAUUUGUGUGUUCCAUUGUGUGAAGCAUAUAUGUAUGUAUGCAUAUAUGUCAAAACUGAUUUACAACUGUCUCAACUUUAUUCCUAAAAAUGCUCCAGAAUGCCAGUUUUCCGUAUUUGGUGUGCUGAUCGCAUCAUAAGGAAAUCGGUUGUGUCAGUAGCAGAAAUUGAAGAACUAAAGAAAAAAAGCAACACAAAAACUCGGUUUGGAGUUGGUAGGACCUACGAAGUUAGUUCUAGAGAAAUGUGGUACAGAAGUGGACGACGAUGAGGUGUUGGAAGAAAUUGCUGAUGAAGUCUUACUAUUGUUGGCUGAUGGAGAAACUUAUACACCAUCUGUAGCUCAGCAAAUACCUGACUCUACUCGAAGUUUGGUAACAUGUACUACAGGCGAUGUACUUCAACCCAGCAGGAGUGCAAGUGACAACGAAAAGGCAAGCACAAGUUCAAGUGAGACAGAGGCAUAUGCCAGUCACAAAUCAUGUAACACAUUAUCAUUGCCUUUGCCAGAACUCUCACGGGCAACCCGAGAUGACUUACAACAGGGAGAUAAAUCAAGACGGGUCUGGUUGCAGCUGAUAGAAGAAUCCAAGAACUACUACAUGAAGUAUUGCCCUCUGCUUGAUGAAAACCCUUAAGCUACGGUUACACUAGCCACUGCUACCCCUGGGCCCAGCCUUGGGCCUGGGUUUACAAGGCAAGUGGUUUCACAUAGCCCAGCCCCAGUCCUGGGCACUCUUGAUCUUGAUUUUGAUACUUGGUGCGCCGAUCUAAACAAAGCGCAUCAGACCUCAAGAUGGCUUCUCUAGGAGACUAUAUAUGGCCUCUUGUGGCCACGCAAUGGACUUUUCAACAGAAGCCAUGUUUAAAACCUUGCCCUGCAGCGUGUGUUUGUUUACAUCUGAGGAUUUCCCAGGUCAAGCGAGGGAUGAUGUUUUCUAAUAAUUUGUGUGCAGCUAAUUAUAACUAAUCAUGCAUGAAAAUAAAUAAAUUGCAUAUAUAGUGAUAUAAUAUCUAGAUAUUUUAUUAUUUAGGAAAAUUUGGGUUUAGUUAUUUGCGUGAAUAAUAUAGUCUCUUAGUUCCUAGUGGUGUGCCCAGGCCUAGAGCUGGGGAGAAAACGGUCUGGCGCGUCCACUCAACUUUGCCCUGGGCUGGGCGAUUUAGCCAGGGCUG